rnacentral:rRNA from 1 species
CUGUGCCUACGGGGCGCAGCAGUGGGGAAUAUUGCACAAUGGGGGAAACCCUGAUGCAGCGAUGCCGCGUGGAGGAAGAAGGUUUUCGGAUUGUAAACUCCUUUUAUCAGGGACGAUAAUGACGGUACCUGAAGAAAAAGCUCCGGCUAACUACGUGCCAGCAGCCGCGGUAAUACGUAGGGAGCGAGCGUUGUCCGGAAUUACUGGGUGUAAAGGGAGCGUAGGCGGGACGGCAAGUCAGAUGUGAAAACUGAGGGCUCAACCUUCAGACUGCAUUUGAAACUGUUUUUCUUGAGCGAAGUAGG